GCCAGUAACUUGCUAGGUAAUCUGGGAUGGGUUGUUUUGCUUCUCCUGGCCUUCGUUUUCUCAUCUGUAGAAUGGGGGACGUUCAUAACCCCUGACCAGCAGGGCCCAUGGGGCUGGUAUAAAACCUGAUGGGAGGGGUGGUUGGAGGUGAGACCUCUGCACACGCAAGCACUCGGCACAGGUGAGGAUUGUGCAGAGAGAAAUCAUCUCCAGGUGUGACUCUGGACAAAUCUGAGCCCCUUCGGAGGCUGUGGGCGGGCCCUCAGGCAGGUGUACCCGUGACCUUAGGACGCCUGCUUCACCAACUUCACAGACCACUGGGUCCUGGGGCUGCGCCAUGGGACGAGGGACAUGGGGCCGAUAGGGCAGGAAGCUUAUUCCCUUCUGUUGGCAAUUCAAAACAGUUUUUAACAUAUCGAAGCAACCGUGUAUACGUCAUGAAGCAGAAGGAGGACGUGGUGUACAGACGGAAGCUAAAACCUGAGGCUGAAGACCCUUCAAGACAAUGGACAUCUGGCCUGGGUUCUCCAAAGGAUCUAGGACCAUGAGGAACAAAGUAGGGGAGACAUCGCAGCCCGAUGCCAUACGCCAUGUUUGACCGGAUCCUGGACUGGGAAAAAAUAGAAGCCACAAAGAACGUUUGGGAGGCCACCAGGGAAACGUGAUGUUAGGUGUUAGGUGUUCGUGUUGUUCGUGUUAGGUGAUGUUGCCCA
rnacentral:lncRNA from 1 species